CUACUGGAAACGGUAGCUAAUACCGCAUAACGUCGCAAGACCAAAGAGGGGGACCUUCGGGCCUCUUGCCAUCGGAUGUGCCCAGAUGGGAUUAGCUAGUAGGUGGGGUAACGGCUCACCUAGGCGACGAUCCCUAGCUGGUCUGAGAGGAUGACCAGCCACACUGGAACUGAGACACGGUCCAGACUCCUACGGGAGGCAGCAGUGGGGAAUAUUGCACAAUGGGCGCAAGCCUGAUGCAGCCAUGCCGCGUGUAUGAAGAAGGCCUUCGGGUUGUAAAG
rnacentral:rRNA from 1 species